UACGUAGGAGCAAGCGUUGUCCGGAAUCAUUGGGCGUAAAGCGCGCGUAGGUGGCUUCGUAAGUCCGCUGUGAAAGUCAAAGGCUCAACCUUUGAAAGCCGGUGGAUACUGCGGAGCUAGAGUCCGGAAGAGGCGAGUGGAAUUCCUGGUGUAGCGGUGGAAUGCGCAGAUAUCAGGAGGAACACCAAUAGCGAAGGCAGCUCGCUGGGACGGUACUGACACUGAGGCGCGAAAGCUGGG
rnacentral:rRNA from 1 species